rnacentral:rRNA from 1 species
UACAGAGGGGGCAAGCGUUGUUCGGGAUUACUGGGCGUAAAGGGCGCGUAGGCGGCCCGCUAAGUCGAACGUGAAAUCCCCGAGCUCAACUCGGGAACUGCGUCCGAUACUGGCGGGCUUGAAUCCGGGAGAGGGAUGCGGAAUUCCAGGUGUAGCGGUGAAAUGCGUAGAUAUCUGGAGGAACACCGGUGGCGAAGGCGGCAUCCUGGACCGGCAUUGACGCUGAGGCGCGAAAAGCUAGGGGAGCAAACGGGG